rfam:TPA: Bos taurus chromosome 15, whole genome shotgun sequence.
UCCCUGGUAGUCCAGUGGUUAAGCCUCCGAGCUUCCAAUGCAGGAUGCCCAGGUUCCAUCCCUGGUCAGGGAA